rnacentral:rRNA from 1 species
GACGAACCGUGCGAACGUUGUUCGGAAUCACUGGGCUUAAAGGGCGCGUAGGCGGACUACCAAGUCCGGGGUGAAAUCUUUCGGCUUAACCGGAAAACAGCCCUGGAUACUGGUGGUCUCGAGCGAGGUAGGGGCCGUUGGAACUUCCGGUGGAGCGGUGAAAUGCGCUGAUAUCGGAAGGAACGCCGGUGGCGAAAGCGAACGGCUGGACCUCUUCUGACGCUGAGGCGCGAAGGCCAGGGGAGCAAACGGG